UCACGGAAGCAACUAAACAUUUAUAUUUUAGGUAUAUUGAGGUUCUCUAAGACGUACAUCUUCCAUCGGCUUUUUAGGCGAGAACAUUCGGAACCUGAGGCAUCCAAGGAGCAGCCUGAGUAGGGAAGUUCUUCACCCACCUUCAGAAUGACAACAAAGCCAGAAAAUAUAGAUUUCAGGCACAAGAAUUCUUCACUCAGCGUAAGGCUACUAAUCUGGGAAAUAACGUGUCCCCCUCAGCUCAACUCCAAAAUGGUAUGUAUGAAUAAGAGUUAAAGAUUUGGGGUAAAUUAUGAAGAAAUGAAUCAAUGAAGAAAGUAUACCCCCUCCCAGGCACAUGGUAAGCCUUAGUUGAGAAGGUACUUUGAGCAUAGUGUUGAGUGCAUAAAUGAUAAACUUAAGGAUUCCAGUGCAGUUCUCCUUGAAUGCCGGGAAGCCUCUUGGUCACUGUGUACGUGACCAGCUGGCUCGGGACUCUGGCCCCUGCUCCCUAAUGGCCCUCUCAACAUUCUCAGCCGGGGUUCCGCAAGUGCCUUAGACUCUACAGAUGAUUUGUUUGACUAUUUUCUCAGUUUUCCCAAGGAUGCUACAUAACUAGUAACAUUCUUGAUGCAUAGGAAGAAGUUAAUUUAUGACAUACAAUGAAUGCCUUGGGGCAUUGGGACUUUCUCAUAGAACUCCAGUUGAGAAAGACUGGAAUAGAUACUUGGCCUCAACUGAAAAUAGGCCUUUGGUCUGAACAGAAAAGCUCUUCUUCACACUCAGACAAAACAUAUCCACUUCCUCCUCAAAACCUUGCCUUAUAUUU